GAGAGGCCGACAUUUCACCGAUUUUUAACAUUUCACCGAUUUUUCUCAUACGUUUCACGAUAAAACGCUAAAACAGCGGCGGAGGCCUUUAACAUAAACUUUGCUCCUCGCUGAGGCAAAAUGGCAGCUGUCUAUUAUUACACACUGAUGAUAAACUGCGUGACGUUUUCCUUUCUUUUCCUGUGUGUGUGUAUAUAUGCGUGUGUGAGAAGUCUUGCCCUGCCCUGCCCAGCACAGUAGUCUAGAAUACUGAAGGCUUCUUCUUUCAACAGCCUCAAAAGCCAACCAAUCACGUCGCUCUACCCUCGGGCUGCCAGAGGCCAGCCAAUCGGAGGAGCCCGUGGCGGUCACCUGACUCAGCAUGGCCCUGUCUGUCAAGCCAGUCGUAUAAAGCUCAGCAGGCUCAGACAAGGCUGUGAAUGUGUGUGCGCGCAUGUGUGUGUGCAUGUGUGUGUGUGUGCGCACGACUGUGCAUGUGCGUGAGACCGGCCGGGACUCUGUGUACCUUCAGUUUGCUUUGUGACAGAGAGAGAGAGAGAGAGAGCGUGCGCGAGAGAGCGAGCGAGCGAAAGAAAGAAAGAAAGAGCGCGAGAAAGAGAGAGAGAGAGAGAGAAAAAGCGAGUGCUUGUGCAAGCAGCUAUUCAAGCAAGAAAGAGUGAGAGACCAAGCAAAAAGAAGAAAGACAAAAAAAAAAAAAAAACAAGAGGAAAAGACUUUCAGCUUAGAGAAGUGAAGUCUGUUUUCCCCCAUGGACUCAACACUUUGGAAGCUACUUCCUCUCUGCAGUUUUAUCUUAUUUUGUGCUUUCUCUGUCAGUCCGAGUGCCGAUAACCUUCGGCAGAGCGGGAUGGUUGGAGAUGAAGGUUGCCUGACCUGGAAUGACAAAAUCUGGUAUUGUGGAGUCUCCCACCUCCACUUCUUGUGUAUUAUAAUUAUUUUUUUUUUUACACUUCUAAUCCACAGCCCCACCUCUCUCCUCCAUCCAUAUUCAUCACCUUUAUCCCUAAUGAAGACCGGAGUGCAGCACGGAGGGGGGAGACAGAGACGCAGGCCUUUGAACUCCCACAAAGACAGAGAGAGAGAGAUAGAGAGACAGAGAGAGAGAGAGAAAGAGAGAGAGAGAGAGAGAGAGAGAAAACACAGCUAGUGAUGAUAGAUGGAAGAGGACAAGGGAAAGAAAGGCAUGAGACAACCAGAAAGAGACGAUCACGCGUCUCGUCUCUUGUGCGGAGAGAAAAGGAGAUGGCGUUGAUGGAUAGAAACGAGGAUGGAAGAAGAAAGGCAUCAGACAUACCAUCUUGACACAGCAGGGGUUCAGCUAACAUCAGAAUCGAGCCUACAAAUUACGCCUACGAUUAUUCAUCCCAGGGUCAAAGACCUUGUCAAAGCACCAAACAGCGUGUCGGAGGUUCGAACACACUGCCAGUGAUAACGGAUCGGACGAGUCUGGACGUUUCCCCGCUCACACGCGUGAUGUGGCAGGUUGGACUACGGUCUUUAAGGUCUGGUUCCCGAGAUGCACCGAUUCGUUCAAGAGUUCACGGUUUAAAAAAAAAUAAAAAAUUGAUCACAUGUAAUAAGAAGCAGCCAUCGUUACUGUUACUUCUCCGAAUGAAGCAGAACCAAAAAGUUUAGAGAACAGGGGGAAAAAACACUGCCUACUAAAAAAAAAAAAAAAACAAUUAAAAAAAAAUACAGGAAUUAAAGACUCAAAAUAUCAGAAUAGAAACAAGGCGAGUAAAUGCGAAAGAAAUUCCCAUUAGCCUCAGAAGCAGAAGUGCAGAGUGUUUUGAGGGCAUAAUCUCUGCAAACAGGAGGAAGUUUUAGUUCCAGAAAAUUCAGAAAUGACGGAGCAAAAAAAAAAAAAAAAAAAGAUUUCGUGGUUGCGUGAAGCUGAUAUUUUGGUCCCGUGUCCGAUCUCGUGUCCAGACUCGGGACUAUUAGAGGUGAAGUGCACGUCGUGUUUUGUAAACAGGUGGGGCAAAGCGUGCUUCGUACAGGAAUGCUGGCGUCAUUGUUGAACGUGUGAUAAAUAAAGCCUUUUGUUUGUUUUUUUCUAACCUGUUCCUCAGAGCACCGCGCGGGGGGGGUUCACUGCAGACUCGACGUGAAGACGCACGUCUCCGGACCGGCGCUGUUGAUGCGAGCAGGUGUGUGAAGACGUGCUAACAGACGGGCACUCUGUGGUUCAGAGAGGAAGGGGUGAUGGAGGUGGUGUUGGUGUCGCGGCUGAUGCGUUCCAUGACAACAUGCACACCCACAUGUGGUAACAGACAUGCUCGCGCACUCACACACACACACACACACACACACACACACACACACAAACCACCAACCGUUAAACUGCUCGAGGCAGCAGAAGCCAGGUGCAGUAGCGCGCCGAUGCUAGUUCCUGUAGGACUGACUGAUGGAAAUCAGCAGGCUUUCGUGUUCUUCUUCUUGUCAUGUUUUUCCACCUCAUAUUUGUUCCAAAAUGAAUUAAAAUAUGAAAGAAUGUGAGGAUUCAGAACGGUCAAGAUUUAUCCGGGGCUUGAUUCUACCAAAAAACCUAAAGAGCAGUCGGUAGUGACAGAGGGGACAAAAUAUUUCCCCUUUAGAAGUGCCAAACGUUCCACCCAACACACCUACGUUUGCUAGCUUACCUACUGUAUAUCCUCUGGUCAUUAACUCCUAUCUGUACUUAUCUGUGUUCUUGCCUUUCACCUUCUUACCAGGAAGUCCGUUCUUCACAUUCCUGGUAUUGUGAAAGACCUUUCGAAUCAUUUCUCACGACGUCGAUCCGCCAUCUGUUCUCAGUCAAGCCUUCGGACGUGCCGUACGAGGGCUCCGCGGUCCGUUCGUGCGACCGAGGGGGGCAAGGCAUCCUCGACUGCACCGUGCCCUCGAUUUCCAGACAAAGCCACAGAAAAGAGGAGGAGCCGUGGGCGAGAGCGAACGGCACGGGAACAAAAGACUAAAAAGCAGGUUGUGUGUGUUCCCCGGUGCUGGUUGCGUUUUAGACGGAGCUGGCAAAUCAGAGCUCACAUUAAUAAUGCAUGCCUGACUCAAAGGCCUUUCGACACAGGAAGCACAGACUGGGGUUCAGAUCACGGGAAAUAGAACAGGAGAGCGGGGUGGGGACGUUUAAAAAAAAUAAUAAAAAAAAGACAAGAACCAAAAAUUCUGACUGGCAAGCAGGUUGCAUUGAGGCGUUUCUCAGGUGUUUAAAGAGCAGAACGGUCUCAAAGACCGCAACAACCGUUUCUGGUGUCCUCGGUUAACAUUCAACGCUGUCGGUGAGUUUUGUGUUUCUGGCAAACCAUCGACCGUUGACUGUACCCUGAGGGCAGCUGAGCACAACACGGGGAGGAAGAGAACCGCCACGGGACACGGCGAGGAGCUCGUGUGGACAUCCCAGACAGGUGCCCUUAUAAUGGCUGCGAUAAACAUUCAUUGCUGUCGGUGGGUUUCCAGCAAACACAACUCACUGAUCGAUGAAUGCAAACUGCGGUUCAAACUCCUCUGAAGCUCGAAGCAGAAGAAGAUGGUACACGUGUGCUGCUUCGGUAACGAAUAAGUACACGGAUGACGUGAGUAUUCAGAUAUUAUCUAAACUGCGAGCAGAUUCCAGAAAUUGCUAGCAUUGCAUAAUCUUUUCGUCACCUAACGAAGGACCGAUCAGAGCUUUUGGUCCACAAAACUCUCGAAUCGGUGGUUCACAAAUGUUUUGAAGCCAGGGACCCCUAUUACACAAACCUCACAGCAUGAAUUUAUUUACGUUUCGGGGAAACACAGCUUUUUAGUCGUGAUCUUUCCACCUAUUGAACACGAAAGGUUUGACUUUGCCCAAAUAAUCGCCGUAAACAAAUAAAAUCUUAUCUUUAGUAGGGAGAUAUUUUCGCCCGUAUUGGGCCCCGUUCACACUGCAGGUAAAAGUGGCCCAAAUCCGAUUUGUUUGGGGUCAAGUGACCAGGUCAGACCUCUUCAGCAGUAGUGUGAACACUCAAAUCUGGGCCAGAUCUGAUUUUUUUCAAAUCAGAUCUGGGCCACUUCCAUAUGUGGUCCUGAAUCAGACCCAAAUCAGAUUUUUUCCAAUGUGGCCGCAGUGUGAACAACCGAGGCGGAUUUGAUGCGACUUUUACGUCGAUCUGUUUAUGCGCCGGCGAAAACGUGACUGGUAACGUGUGUGUGUUAAGAGUGUUAUAUAAAGUGGUUACGUGAACCAGCUCAUAAUGUUUGCACCGAAUACGUCACAUUAUAGCGUUACAUGAUACGUUUGCUUGCACCAGAUGAUACAAUACUUCCUCCAUAACCUCGCCGACUUUUUAGCGCGACGACGUGCUGCGUGUGACGUCAUCGUUAUCGUUCGUUUGUGCAUGCGGGUCAGUUCGAAACAGCAAACGCUUCACACUGGUAUCUGAUAUAGGCCACGUUUUAAAAGGUAAUCUGAACAGCCAAACAAAAUCAGAUCUGAGCAAAAUAUCCGAAUUGAGCAUUAAGACUCGCGGUGUGAACGUGGCCUUGAAGACGGACGUUUCAGAAUCAGAACCACGCAGACGCCUACGGUGAAGACGUAAAGACGCAAACCAGACGCAAACAAUAUGUCCUUGCGAAUAUAUAGACAGAACACCACAUCAUAACAGCUGAAACCUUGCUCAAUUUUCCAUAGCCAGCUCACCCUAACACCAGCCAAGUCUCUAGGCAACCAAAACAUGCACGAACACACUGUACACUGGAGAGUCGACUUGCCCAGUGGACUACAGGUCCAGGGUUUGUUAUUGGUUCACAUCUUGGGCUUCCUCAGGGGUGGUGGUGAAGUGUAAAGUAUAGCGCCUACGUAGUAGUAGUAGUAGUGUGCAGUACGACGUACAAUGGCGUCAGUGAUAGUUCAACGGUUAAAGCGCGGGGUUACUGAUUUGUAAGGUCAUGGGUUCAAGUCCUUGAGCAUGUUCGCAGAGCUGAUGACCCUGUGUGUUGACCCCAGCUUUCUAAGUAGGGAUAUGCCAGGAAAAUAAUUUCACCGUGCUGUAACGUAUGUGAGGAAUAAAGGCUGCUUCUUCUUCUUUUCUUCUUCUUCUUCUUCAACAAACAGAGUGUCUGACCUGCCCGUCUUCUCUUCGGCAUUACUACCCACACGUGUGUGACUGUUUAUAUACCCAUCCGUGUGCCCGGGUGAUACCAUCACGGCACAGGAGCGACUGUUAAAAUUGCCCAUUUUCCCCUUGUGCUCUAUCCCUUCAAUCAUGCAGAAAUAGUCUGAGCUUUAAAUAACUCCCAAAAAAAGGGGGGAAAAAAAACGCUUACCUGCGCUGGAACGGAAUUAUUAAAUAUGACAAUUAUCGCUGACAGCCAAGCGCUGCUUCCCUUAUUCGCUCUCUUUUUGUCAGGUUCGAUUGAAGUUGACCUUCACCACGUGCCGAGGGAGUGAACGAGCGCGCGAGACAAUCAGCUAGCGAGUGCUUGAAACGCUCGUUUCUCUCUCUCUCUCUCUUUUUUUUUUUAAGCAGGAUGGGAGAUAGAAUCAUCUGGAAGCAAUCCUGCUGUAAUUGCUUAACAUGCUGGGAAAUUUCGAACACAUUGGCAUUUUCCACUUGAAGACAUGAAUGCAGCAUGCGCUCUCUCUCUCUCUCUCUCUCUCUCGUCUUUUAUUACAGUGGAAAGUGUCUGAGGGUGGCUGUAGAGUUCAUGACUCGUGCGGCUAACAAACUGAACUUUUUUACGUGUAGGGAGUAGACGAUGUGGUGACACCGGAGCCCGGACUCGCUGCAUUAUAAUAGGCUCAGAAACCGCCGGUGGUUAACGAGAGCCGUCUGUCUGCUCCGUUUGUCCCCAUCUUUCCUCCUGUUUUCUUUUUGUUUUGGGAGAGAAUAAUAAAUUUGUCUGUGGGGUGGGAUGGGGUGGGGAAUUGAUGGACGUGUCCCGUAAUCUGAGCUUUAGACUAAACGGGUUGUUGUUUAAAAGAAAGGAAGCACUGUCGAUGUAAUAACACGGUUAUUAAUGGAAGGAGUCUCCAGUGUCAGAGGAAACAGCUGGAUCUCAAAACGGGAAAUGCUUCAUUUUAUGCUUCGUGUGUGUGAGAGAGAGAGAGAGAGAGAGAGAGAGAAAACCAAAGGCUGGUGAGGGAAUGAAGGUUUAAAGCUGCUUUAUCAUCAAUGACAACAGAAACAAAUGUGAUAUAUGGGCGAUAAAUAAAAACAAAUGGAUUAAAAAAAA